UACGUAGGGUGCUAGCGUUGUUCGGAAUCAUUGGGCGUAAAGCGCGUGUAGGCGGUUAGUUAAGUCGGGUGUGAAAUCCCUGGGCUCAACCGAGGAAGUGCAUCCGAAACUAACUAGCUAGAGAAUGGUAGAGGAAGGUGGAAUUCCGUGUGUAGAGGUGAAAUUCGUAGAUAUACGGAAGGAAUACCGGUGGCGAAGGCGGCCUCUGGACCAUUUCUGACGCUGAGACGCGAAAGCGUGGGGAGCAAACAGG
rnacentral:rRNA from 1 species